rnacentral:rRNA from 1 species
CGGUGUUUAACUGGCGUGAUGUGGGACGUCCUACCGGUGGGCUUAGCCUCGCGAGGGGCGGCCCAACUAAUAUCCCGUCGCGGUGCUCUUUACUGAGUGUCGAGUCGGGCCGGUACGUUUACUUUGAACAAAUUAGAGUGCUUAAAGCAGGCUAUCCUCGCCUGAAUACUGCGUGCAUGGAAUAAUGGAAUAGGACCUCGGUUCUAUUUUGUUGGUUUUCGGAACCCCGAGGUAAUGAUUAAUAGGGACAGAUGGGGGCAUUCGUAUUGCGACGUUAGAGGUGAAAUUCUUGGAUCGUCGCAAGACGGACAGAAGCGAAAGCAUUUGCCAAAAAUGUUUUCAUUAAUCAAGAACGAAAGUUAGAGGUUCGAAGGCGAUCAGAUACCGCCCUAGUUCUAACCAUAAACGAUGCCAGCUAGCGAUCCGCCGAAGUUCCUCCGAUGACUCGGCGGGCAGCUUCCGGGAAACCAAAGCUUUUGGGUUCCGGGGGAAGUAUGGUUGCAAAGCUGAAACUUAAAGGAAUUGACGGAAGGGCACCACCAGGAGUGGAGCCUGCGGCUUAAUUUGACUCAACACGGGAAACCUCGCCAGGCCCAGACACCGGAAGGAUUGACAGAUUGAUAGCUCUUUCUUGAUUCGGUGGGUGGUGGUGCAUGGCCGUUCUUAGUUGGUGGAGCGAUUUGUCUGGUUAAUUCCGAUAACGAACGAGACUCUAGCCUGCUAAAUAGGCGUACCUUAUGGUAUCGCGAAGGCCCCCGGCUUCGGCCGGUGGGUUUUUACUACCAACGUACAAACAAAUCUUCUUAGAGGGACAGGCGG